rnacentral:rRNA from 1 species
CAGUAGCCGCGGUAAUACGUAGGUCCCGAGCGUUGUCCGGAUUUAUUGGGCGUAAAGCGAGCGCAGGCGGUUAGAAAAGUCUGAAGUUAAAGGCUGUGGCUUAACCAUAAUACGCUUUGGAAACUGUUUAACUUGAGUGCAAGAGGGGAGAGUGGAAUUCCAUGUGUAGCGGUGAAAUGCGUAGAUAUAUGGAGGAACACCGGUGGCGAAAGCGGCUCUCUGGCUUGUAACUGACGCUGAGGCUCGAAAGCGUGGGGAGCAAACAGGAUUAGAUACCCCUGUAGUCCCUGUCUCUUAUACC